rnacentral:rRNA from 1 species
GAUGAACGCUGGCGGCGUGCCUAACACAUGCAAGUCGAGCGGAAGCUCCUGUAUUGAACUUCGGUGGAUUGACGGUAGCCGAUAGCGGCGGACGGGUGAGUAACGCGUAGGCAACCUGCCCCUCACAGAGGGAUAGCCACUGGAAACGGUGAUUAAUACCUCAUAACGCGAGAGAGUCACAUGGUUCUUUCGCCAAAGAUUUAUCGGUGAGGGAUGGGCCUGCGUCUGAUUAGCUAGUUGGUGGGGUAACGGCCUACCAAGGCGACGAUCAGUAGCCGACCUGAGAGGGUAAUCGGCCACAUUGGAACUGAGACACGGUCCAA